GGUCACGUACAGCAACUUUGAGCUCAACGUGGCUCACACUCUGAUUUUGCCCUUCACUUGGGUAAACACUGAGGAUGUUCAGAAAAGGCCACGGUGUUUGGGUUCUUUUGCAGAGUUAGAAGACCUGGCUGCAUGUCCUCCAGUUCCUUCCUGGCAAUGCCUAGAUGGAGUGGAGCUGUGUUGCUGCCCAGUGCCGCCUCUCCCUGGAGCUUCACAUGAGGACCCCUUCACUACUGACCGGAACUGUGUUCCCUGCAGGAACAACUGCCAUAAUUUCCACCUCAGAGGCUCCAGACCUCACAGACCUCCAAGCGCUGUCCGUAGGAGUGUGGUGCACCGUGACAGCCUGCAAAGGAAAGGCAGAGGGGACUCCAACCCAGUGCAGCUCCUGCUGCAUUAGCAUGGAGAUGAUUUGCCCACGGGCUUCCGGCUCACUGAGGAUGAGCAGGCCUGUCUGCUGCCCCCUGCACUGUCAUCCCCGGCUGUUCAGAGGCAAAGCUGUGGAUCCCGCCCACCACUUAGUGUCAUCCUCAGAACAUUACAGUUACUGGGCUCUGCGUUUGGCCAUCAAUUCGACUUGUUCUGCUUCUAAGAUGGACAGUCACAGCAUGACAUCCCGACAGACUCAGAGGGCCUGGGAAGAACGGAGCAUGUUUGUGGCUGUAAAAAUGAACACCUUGGAUACUUUGUUCCUGAUGAGGCAUAUUUUUGUAACCUUGUUCUGGAUUAUAAUUCUUCAGCUAGAUGCAAGAAAAAGCUUGAGAUUUUCAACAAAGUCUUUAGAGUCAUUUGGAAUGAGAAGAAUUGAGUUUGAGCCCUUACUGUACAAUUUUACUGUCAAGUAACAC
ensembl:lincRNA